AAUCAGGAUGUUAUAUGGAUUGAAAAAGUUGGUUGCAAAAUAGAGAAGAAAAUGAUGAACUACAAUUAGUUUCAGAUCUAAUUGAUAGUGAAAAUAAGACAUGGAAAAUAGAGUUAAUCAACAAUACCAUUCAAACAGAAGUUGCCUAAAAGAUAUUGCAGAUUCCUCUUACAGAAGUAGACCACGAAGAUUUUCAAGUGUGGAAAGGAGAACUUUCUGGAGAAUUUUCUGUCUGAAGGGCCUAUAAACUAUUACAAUAUCCUAGCUUGGAUCCUAAUAGUUAUUUAUUACAGGUCGAAAUCAAAGAAUUUUACAGGAAACUAUAGGAUUUAUAGCUACCAUAAAAAAUUACAUUAAUAAUUUGGCAGAUCUCCUGAAAUUAUAUCCCUACACUAGUCAACCUUAGACAUAAGCGAGUAAUUACAAAUGUCACAUGUCCUCGCUGUGACUCUGAAGAAGAGGAUAGCCACCAUGCUUUUAGAAAAUGCCCUGUAAUCAAAGAAAUAUGGCAAAACCUUAAUCUCUCUUGGGUUACAUCUCAUAUAAGUCAAAAUAUCUAGGAGUGGCUAACCUGGGUUUUUGGAAAAGGUACUAAGGAACAGUGUUGGUUCUUUUGUUGCGCCUUAUGGUUCAUUUGCAGCUUACGAAAUCAGUAUGUUCAUGAAAGAAAAUCCAUUUCAGUUAGACAUCUGUCACAAAAAAUCAGAAGAUAUGUAGAAGAACUUGAAGUGGUGCGCAAGAAAAAGUUUACCUUUAAUACAGAAGAGUUCAUCACAAACAGGGGCGAUAAAAAUUAAUACGAUAUAGUUCGAUGUUGCUUUUGACAAAAGAUGUUCUAGAUCAGCUUUGGGUUUAGUGGUUCGGGAUCAGAUGGAUGAGUUAAAAGCCUUAAAGAUGAUUCUCCAUUAUAAUAUCUCAUCUCUGUUCUAGCAGAAGCUCAUGCAGGAUUAGAAGCUAUCAAGUUAGUAUUAUCAAUGGGUCUAAGCUCAGCAACAAUAAUAGGAGAUUCAAAAAUAGUUAUAAAAAAUGUCAAUCGAUAGAAGUAGACAAAUUAGUACUAAGAGCAAUUAUCAGAGAUAUUCAAAAUAAGAGAUCUCGGCUCCCAGAGGUUACUUUUCAGUUUAUUCACAGAUCAGAGAAUACUCACGCUCAUAGAAUAGCAAAAGAAGCACUUGAAAGAAGAGAAGAAUCGUACCUGGUGGGGGAAGUGCUGAACCACAAAAAGUUGGCUCUGGAAGGAAGAUGGAGAAGAAACCUAGAUUGAGACUGUCGGUGAGGAGGAAAUAGUAUACAAGAUAGCAGGUAAAGUAAAAAUCUCUUUGGGAAGGAUUAUCUGCUGAAAAGGCAUGGCUGGUGACAGGAAAAGAAGAUAAAAUUUAAUGAUGGCCAGGCUAUUUUGAUUUGACUGGGAAAACUAAUAGGUUUCCUUUUAUUUAUUAUUUCUUUUCUGUUCUUACUUUAAAUUUCUUUCGUUUCUGUUUGUUCAUUUUAGUAAUGGGCCUCUAACUUAAAAUUGGUUGCCAAUUUUUGUUUAUUUGCUUUGUAAGAGAACUUGAGCCCAAAAUUUGUUGGGGAGUAGUUAGAUGGUUUUAUCAAAUAAAAG
rnacentral:lncRNA from 1 species